GAUGAUAAUCAGAUGGCUGCCUCUUACUUCACUUAGCCUCUUCUGAAGGCCAAAAUGCUAACCUACUCCCAUUACAGAUGCUUAACGUGUUAAAAUAGUCUCACUCUGAUGCUUCCUAGUUUCAUAGAUGACUUGAUUUUACAUCAAUAAUACUCAAAGUGCUUAUUCUAAACACAUACAGGCAGUGCAGAUGGAGGCAAUUGUUUCUGCAGCAACAAGGGCCACGUGAAAGUGAUAGGGAAACCUCUACUCCAUCACCGCGUCCGCUCCUCAGCUCACUCUUGCUGUAGGCCUGAGUUUACUGCUUCAUGGUUUUGAGAGAUUGAAAAAUCCAACAAUCUACCUUUGAAUAUGGACCACAGAAAAGAUAUUUAAAAGUCCAGUUCCCUUCCUAAGAUUGUCUGUGGAAUGACUUCAGAAGAGGAUCCAUCACACUGAAGGUGCAGAUCCUGACUCUAGAGAUCAGAGCUGCCUGACUGAGAGGUUGAUGGCUAUGGACACUCCAGGACAAGGCCCAUACCCUAUUAGCCCUGAGCUAACAUCUGCUGCCAAUCCUCCUCUUUUUGCUGAAGUAGACUGGCCCUGAGCUAACAUCCAUGCCCAUCUUCCUCUACUUUAUAUGGGGGACGCCUACCACAGCAUGGCUUUUGCCAAGCGGUGCCAUGUCUGCACCCGGGAUCCAAAGCAGCAAACCCAUGGACGCCGAGAAGCGGAACUUGUGAACUUAACUGCUGCACCACUGGGCCGGCCCAGGAGAUGACAUUUCUAUAUAGAAGGGUUUAGGACUGCAAUCUCCAGUGUGAGUGUGUGUGUUUGUGUGUGUGUGAGAGAGAGAACACAAACAUGAGCAAGGUGGGAUCGGGAAUUGGCUAAAGGACUGACCUUUCAAAGUUAAAUUUGCCUAGAAGACUAUUGUUUUUGCCCAGAGGUUUUUGUUUGGUUGGUUGGUUCUGGUUUUUUCACUUUUUGCAUGGUUUGUGGGAGUUACCCAAGAUUAGGGUACUUGUCUUGAAGCUUCGUCUGUAUCCCAUGCAAUUUGUCUUUAUUAAUGCUUAGGUAUGUGUUCAUCUGGGGUGGAUUGUGGCCUGUCGAACCAUCACUUGUGGAAGGCCCUGCAAAUCACUCUCUUCUCUAUGCCUCCCCCAUUUAUUAAAAUCUAGUUCAGACUCCAAAAGCAAAGUGCCUAACCACAAAGGUGACCUCCCUGUAGCCUUUAUAGGGACAAUAAUAUCUGUUUUUAAAUUUUACAUUGUUAAAAUACUGUAUAGUUUACAAAGAAAUUUCUGACCUGUGAUCUUACUUAAGAGUGACUCAACUUGCCAAGAAACAACAUUCUUAUUUUAGUGACACUGGCUUAAAGAUAAUUUAAUGUAACCCAGAUAUCGCAGACCUCGUCUGUCUGAAAGGUCACAUUUACUUUUCAUGACCAAAGCAUAAAGCUCAGGCCUCCACCAACCUGAUUGCUGGAAAUCAGACCUCUAUUUCCAAAAUGUCCGCUCUGUAUAACUCGGGAUACUUUCCAAGUGCCCCUCACAAGGCUUUCAGUUGCAGGCAUCACACAGGGUCCACGCUAUUCUUCCUUGCUUUAUCUUCCCCAGGUUGUUGCCCUCCAAGCCAGUGGGAAGAGGUUUCACCAUCAUCACUGCCCAUCUUGUAAGGCCUAAGGUCCACACCAAGGCUGCUAUAUCUAAAUGCUUUCCCAAGAUCCUAUCUUUGAGAUUCUAAGGCAUCACUGCGAGAAAAGCCUCCAAGAACUCCAGUUCAAGGUCUCAAUUUGGCCCUAAAGCAGCUCAGUUUGCUAUCAGUCUCAUUGCACAUGAAGAGUUUUCAAGGCUUUGGGCUGGAAACUCAGCCCUCGCUUGCCCAGAAUCUCAUUGAUUAUCACAUAAAAAUGCAAUUCUAUAGGUUUCUGGUGCCCAGGCUUCUAAACAGAGGAGCUCAAACCAAAUCCAAAGGGCCAGAUGGCAGACUAUGUUCGAGUGCUUCUCUGGAAACAGAUUCAGAGAUGGAGAGCUGCUUACCGGAGGUUCAUUGGGGAAAUCUCUUGAGAGUGACAGUACUGAACUUUAUCUGAGCCAUGGGUUCCCAGUAGGCAGUGGCAGUUAGGAACCCAACCACCACCACCACCAUUCUGUUUUUCUUCUGGAAAUGGCUAACCACAAAGGGCUACCCCAUCAUGGCAUAUUUGCAUAUACCCAGAUAAUACCAUGUCUAUAUUUCUACUUGGCCUCUGUAAUACUCCUGGAUGAAGUAAAUGAUUCCCUUGUCUCCUACCUUUAUAAAACUCCAGCCCCCUUCCUUUUCUUUGAGAAGAUCCUCAUUAAUGAAUAUUCUACCUAUUGCAAUAGCCCAAAUGAAAGCAUCUCCUUAAUUGCCAUAUGUAUUAUGUCUUUGACAGGAGACAGGCCUGUGAGGAGAUGAGGGAGGCCUGGUUGAGCAGUAGGAGAUGUCAACCUGCAGUGUGUUUGCAAAUGAGGACUCAGCUGAUUCUAUGAGGCCUCCAGAGCUGGGGUGGCCCUUUGGAGUUGUCUCAAAUUCAAGCAAGGCUGCCCAGUCUUUUUAUCCGUGGAUUAGCCCCCAGGAGGGGGGUAUAACCCAGGGCAAAGCAGUUCUCUGAGGUCUAGGGUGAUUCUCAGUGAGAAGAAGCAACUGUGAGCUUACAGCAGGCAAAUUCCCAGUAGCUUAUGAUGGUGCCUGAACAGGGGAUCUGGGCCAAGUCAUCCACUCCAUUGAUGGGAAACUAACCAUUGAUCCUUCACAUCUCUGCCCUCCUUCCGUCCCAGCCCUCAAGGAAAAUGUCUCCUUCAUCCUCAGCUGAAAAGUCCAAAGCUAUCAUGAAUAUCAGAGAGUGAAAAGGAUGUCAACAAAUCUGGAAUGGAGCUAAGAUACAGAGAAGAUAGUGAGGAGCAACUGAGGGAAGAGAAUGCCCUCUAUGUUCACUUCAGAGCUCUCAAGGUGGUUUUCUCCAGCUGUGCUUCACAGACUCUCCUGGGCUGGUCUCUUAAUGCAUUAAACUUGAUAAUAUGCCACUCUAUGCUUCUGUUUCUAUUAGCAAUUUACUCGUGAAUAUUUAAUAAAAAUAAAAUUAAAAAGCCAGCUGACACCAUUUGUUGCUACCUAAUCAAAGUCAGCUCAAGUCUCUCCACUUUUUCUGAGGAGAGGUUUUUCUUACUGAAUUGCAUAUGGAUUUGUACCACGUUGGGCUCAAGACAGAAAUAUUGCAAGUCACUCUUUGGUCAUAGUAAGCCUGAUUCUUUGUACAUCUUCUUUCCUUCUUCCCAGAAGCAUUUACCGAGCUCCUUUUUUGUGUCAGGU
rnacentral:lncRNA from 1 species